rnacentral:rRNA from 1 species
ACGAACGCUGGCGGCGUGCUUAACACAUGCAAGUCGAACGUGAUUUUUGUGGAAAUUCUUUCGGGGAUGGAAAUGAAAUGAAAGUGGCGAACGGGUGAGUAACACGUGAGCAACCUACCUUACACAGGGGGGUAGCCGUUGGGAACGACGAUUAAUACCGCAUGAGACCACAGAAUCGCAUGAUAUAGGGGUCAAAGAUUUAUCGGUGUAAGAAGGGCUCGCGUCUGAUUAGCUAGUUGGAAGGGUAAAGGCCUACCAAGGCGACGAUCAGUAGCCGGUCUGAGAGGAUGAACGGCCACAUUGGAACUGAGACACGGUCCAAACUCCUACGGGAGGCAGCAGUGGGGAAUAUUGCACAAUGGGGGGAACCCUGAUGCAGCGACGCCGCGUGAGCGAAGAAGGUUUUCGAAUCGUAAAGCUCUGUCCUAUGAGAAGAUAAUGACGGUAUCAUAGGAGGAAGCCCCGGCUAAAUACGUG